GCCGGUGUGGUGAAACUGGCAUACACGCUGGACUCAAAAUCCAGUGCCCGCAAGGGCGUAGGGGUUCGACUCCCCUCACCGGCACCA
rnacentral:tRNA from 1 species